ACAGGGUGAUGAGGGAGCAACGCUGUGGGCGGUAGAGGAGGUGCGUGGCAGUCCAGGAAGCUCUCAUUCUGCUGCUGCGUGCUGCUUCGCUGUCGUCCGGCUUCACCCAAGUCUCCUUCACUCUCUUGCUGUUCGUGUGUGUCAGAGUUGCCUUCCCCUGCCUCCUCUCUCCUCCCCACUCAUUGAUUCCUCUUUCCGCCUGCCUCUCGUGUUCUCCCUCUAUGCCUCUCUGAUCCUUCUCCCUCUUAUUUCUCGUUCUUUCUUGCUCUUCUCGCUUUGCCGUUUCCCUUUUUGCGCCUCUCCUCGUCUUCUUCACCAGCCAGGGUAAGACACAUGCAGCCUACUCUGCACCGCCUGUGAGGUCAAUGCCAGGUCACCCCGCA